rnacentral:rRNA from 1 species
CACUAUAGGGCGAUGAUUUAGCGCCGCGAUCGCCUGUGCAGCAGCCGCGGUAAUUCCAGCUCCAAUAGCGUAUAUUAAAGUUGUUGCAGUUAGAACGCUCGUAGUCGGAUUUCGGGGCAGUCCGACCGGUCUGCCGAUGGGUAUGCACUGGCCGGAGUGUCCUUUUUGCCGGAGACCGUGCCUACUCUUAACUGAGCGGGGGCGGGAGACGGCACUUUUACUUUGAAAAAAUCAGAGUGUUUCAAGCAGGCAGCUCGCUCUUGCAUGGAUUAGCAUGGGAUAAUGAAAUAGGACUUUGGUGCUAUUUUGUUGGUUUCGAACACCGAAGUAAUGAUGAGAAGGGACAGUCAGGGGCACUCGUAUUCCGCAGAGAGAGGUGAAAUUCUCAGACCCGCGGAAGACGAACCACUGCGAAAGCAUUUGCCAGGGAUGUUUUCACUGAUCAAGAACGAAAGUUAGGGGAUCGAAGAUGAUCAGAUACCGUCGUAGUCUUAACCAUAAACCAUGCCGACUAGGGAUUGGAGGAUGUUCACUGAUUGACUCCUUCAGCACCUUACGGGAAACUAAAGUCUUUGGGUUCCGGGGGGAGUAUGGUCGCAAGGCUGAAACUUAAAGGAAUUGACGGAAGGGCACCACCAGGUGUGGAGCCUGCGGCUUAAUUUGACUCAACACGGGGAAACUUACCAGGUCCAGACAUUGUGAGGAUUGACAGAUUGAGAGCUCUUUCUUGAUUCGAUGGGUGGUGGUGCAUGGCCGUUCUUAGUUGGUGGAGUGAUUUGUCUGGUUAAUUCCGUUAACGAACGAGACCUUAGCCUGCUAAAUAGUGACGCGAACUCUUUGUUGGCGGGCCACUUCUUAGAGGGACAACUUGUCUUCACACAAGUGGAAGUUUGAGGCAAUAACAGGUCUGUGAUGCCCAAGGGCGAUCCGUUAACUUGCAGGAC